CAGCCGCCGCGGUAAUACGGAGGGGGCUAGCGUUAUUCGGAAUUACUGGGCGUAAAGCGCACGUAGGCGGCUUCGCAAGUCAGAGGUGAAAGCCUGGGGCUCAACUCCAGAAUUGCCUUUGAGACUGCGUCGCUCGAAUCCGGGAGAGGUGAGUGGAAUUCCGAGUGUAGAGGUGAGAUUCGUAGAUGUGGAGGAACACCAGUGGCGAAGGCGACUCUCUGGUCUGUAACUGACGCUGAGGAGCGAAAGCGUGGGGAGCGAACAGGAUUAGAUACCCGCGUAGUCCCUGUCUCUUAUACAC
rnacentral:rRNA from 1 species